rnacentral:sRNA from 1 species
GAGGGGGACCCAAAAAUCUGAAAAGCCCCUCUAGGCCUUGAUGUGUGGCUCCCACUGGGCAAAGGGGCCCACAGGCAGGUCAGUUACCCCGAGGCCUCCCCUCCCAAGAUCCUGGGACCCUGAGGACUUUGAAGAUGCAUGGAAGAGGCCAGAUGCCUUGCCCGGGCAGUCUAAGAGACUCGCCAUCCCGUGCAAACUGGAGAAGAUGCGGAUUUUGGCACAUGGGGAGCUCGUGCUUGCCACGGCCAUCAGCAGCUUCACGCGGCACGUGUUCACCUGUGGCAGAAGAGGCAUCAAGGUGUGGAGCCUGACUGGCCAGGUGGCUGAGGACAGGUUCCCUGAGAGCCACCUGCCUGUACAGACCCCUGGGGCCUUCCUGCGCACCUGCCUGCUGUCCUCAAACAGCAGGAGCCUGCUCACCGGUGGCUACAACCUGGCCAGCGUGAGCGUGUGGGACCUGGCGGCGCCCUCCCUGCAUGUGAAGGAGCAGUUGCCCUGUGAGGGUCUCAACUGCCAGGCCCUGGACGCCAACCUGGAUGCCAACCUGGCCUUCGCCAGCUUCACCAAUGGUGUGGUCAGGAUCUGGGACCUGCGGGAUCAGAGUGUGGUCAGGGACCUCAAGGGUUAUCCUGAUGGAGUCAAGAGUAUCGUGGUCAAGGGCUACCACAUCUGGACUGGGGGUCUGGAUGCCUGUCUGCGGUGCUGGGAC